rnacentral:tRNA from 1 species
UGGGGAAUCGUCUAAGGGCAAGACACCGGUCUCUGGAACCGGGAAUCUAGGUUCGAAUCCUAGUUCCCCAG